rnacentral:tRNA from 3 species
CGGGAUGUAGCUCAGCCCGGUUAGAGUACACGUCUGGGGGGCGUGUUGUCGCUGGUUCGAAUCCAGUCAUCCCGACUA